rnacentral:rRNA from 1 species
GACGAACGCUGGCGGCGUGCUUAACACAUGCAAGUCGAACGGAAAGGCCCUGCAUGCAGCGUCCUCGCGUGGCGAACGGGGAAGUAACACGAGGGUGUGCUGCACUGCACGUCGGGGUAAGCCUGGUACACUAGGUCUAAUAUCGUACAGGAGCCAUUUUUAGUGUGAUGGUUGGAAAGUUUUUUCGGUGUAGGGUGAGCUCGCGGCCUAUCAGCUUGUUGGUGGGGUAAUGGCUUACCAAGGCGGAGACGGGUAGCCGGACUGAGAGGGUGGACGGCCACAUUGGGACUGAGAUACGGCCGAGACUCCUACUGGAGGCAGCAGUGGGGAAGAUUGCACAAGGGGCGCCAGCCUGAUGCAGCGACGCCGCGUGGUGUAUGACGGCCUUCGGGUUGUGAACGCCUUUCGCUAGGGACGAAGCUUUUUGUGACGUUACCUAGAUAAGAAGCACCGGCUAACUACGUG